GCCGGGAUGGCGGAAUCGGUAGACGCAACCGACUUAAAAUCGGUCGGGCUUUGCCCGUACGGGUUCAAGUCCCGUUCUCGGCA
rnacentral:tRNA from 1 species